ensembl:lncRNA
GUCUGUGAGAACUCCUGACAUCUGAAGCUUGAUUCCCAAGUUUCCAUAGCAACAGGAAAAAAAAGAAAAAAAAAAUUCAAAUCUGAAGAUUGCCGUUUACAGCUCUCGAACUUCACAACCAGGCCUCAAUUGUUUCAGAUUUUCGUUUUCUUUGCAAUUUUCACUUAAUCUGUACUUCACCAUUUUGACAACAUCUUCCUUUUCCCCUUUAAUUAAUGGAAUCCUCUGAAUUUUCCCUUGAGUGUUUUAAACAUCAUGGCAUAGAACUUGACCUUCUGGGAGGAGGAACAAUGAAUACUUUUCCUGAUGUGUUUGCCAUGUUGCUAGUCAGCACUCCACACAUCCGGUUUGGUCUGUGGGUUAGUAUUUGUAUAUGUAUGCGUAUCUGUAUGUGUAUAUACCCAGUAUUUAUAGAGACAGACUACAGAAGCUUGGUCCUCAUAUAUUGUCACCCUUCCCCAAGAGGUUAAGCACAGAAGGGGUAGAAGCUAAAGCAGCCGACCCCUCCAGGGCCUCAGCGUCCAGUUCAGCACUAGAGCAGAGCUGGACGUUUCACCAUCAAAUGCACGGGCGUCUAUCUCUCUGCAUUUUUAAGUGUCUGGAAACCACAGUCCCAGUGGGUUUUCUGGGGACCUGGCCCAGGAUAGAGAACCUUGCCCUCCUUGGCAUACGUACAACAGCCAGUGUCAUCAUGGAGGUCACACAUGCGUCCGAAGAGGCCAUCAGGUACCAUGUGUAUACAUAUAUCGGCCCACAUGUACAGACAUACAUUUAUGCGCAUACACACCGUUCGUUUCCUAUAUACAUGCAUACAAUAGAGUAAAUACAGGUAGUUUUAAAAGUACCCUUUUGUGUGAAUCGACGGCCGUCGUUUGCAAACCUGAAAAUAAAAGAUGUUCAUUAUGUAUGAGAAGUAACUGAUUUUUAUUCUGUGAGCAUGCGAACAUAAGACGGAGGUUAGUGCUUGUACCAAGGUUAUCUUCUUGUCCAUACGCUGUAACGGAACCAUCAAAGCUCACACCAAAUUUUUCUAGCAGAUGAACUAGUGACAGCCUGUGGCUUUUUCUUAGCGCUCGACACGAGCUAGGGUCAGGUAAGUGUCUUAGCAUAUUUUAAUGCCGUUGCUUACUAAAGGUUUUAACCACACGCACGCGCACACGCGGGUGCGCUCACGCUUUCUUAUGCAAUCUCUGUUUGCACCUGUGCUUUUCAGUUUGCCUUCACAGGAAAUAGAAGUCAUAUGUUGUCUUUAUUGUAGUGAAAUUAUGCAGAUAGAGUUCCAUAUAUUGUAUCUGUUUCUCUAGUAAAUCUUUUUGAAGCAUAUAGAAUGCAGAGAUUUUUUUCAUUAAAAUAAAUGGGUGUUGGUGGUUAAAACUGCUGGACGGUAGCUCUUCUCUGAUUUCUACGUUGCUGUCUAAUGUCACAGACGCUGGGUCUUGCCCAGUGCAAGUUCACACUUCUGGCUGGCCGUUUGGGUCCCCCGACAUCAAAUGGGUGAGUGGGGAAGUCAGCAGCCCCGCUGAGGGUAGGAGAAGCCUCAGGGGCAGGGGCUCCAAGCCUGCAGUCCCACUUUACCAGGUUUCCUCUUCUGGCUCCACAGGGUGCAGCCUCGUGUCUCCCCGGUGGACCUCGCUCAUCUCUUCUGCAAGGCAGAGGGGAGGGCUCACCGAGGAGCACAGCCAGCAGCAUCCUCAGAGGCCAGGUGGUCAGCAGCCUGGCUCAC